GAAUCGUUUUUUGUAUUUUAUCUACCCGUUGGUUACUAUACGAUUGAUAACGUUCGACUUUUUAUAGCAUACAAUUUAUAAAAUGAAAUAAAGAAAUCACAGUCGACCCCCCCAAAAAACAAUACUAUUUAGAACAAAAUUAUAUGCAACUUUAUCAUAAUAUCAAUGGCAUGUAGGUAUUGUAUUUCAUUUACAAAAAUAAAAAUUCAAGUCAAAAUUCAUAAAUAAAUUAUCUAAACUUGUACAAUAAUAUUACGUAAAAAGAUAUCCUAGAAUAAUGGAGUAGAGUGCAGGCACUAUUAUAAAUAAUUUAAUGUAUAUCUGUAAGCAACGAAAAACCAUUGCUAACGAAAAAACGAUUCUGAACGUAGUUCAUUUGAUAGUGAUGCUUUGUCAAUAAUAUAUAUGUAAUAUUGCAAUAAAAUAAUUAAAUAGGCAUUAUAUAAUAUUGUCUAAUAAUAUUUGUUUAAUAUUGUACCGAUUUUUCCAUGUUUUUUCCCGAUUUUUCACAUUUGCUGGGAAAACUCUUGGGAAAAUUGAAAAAUGACCUCCUUAAAGUACCUCCUCAAUCAGAUUUCUUCUUAGAAAAAGUGCUAUCAUUGUAAAUCGGAGCAAAACUGUUAGUAGACAAGUUGUCUAUAGAAAAAAAAAUCGUAAUAUUUUACUAAUAGAUUUUGUAAAUUUUACCGUUUUUUCUAAGUUUUUCACGAUUUUUCCCUUUUAUUGGGAAAAUCAACAAAUAAUCUCCUCAAAUUACCAUGGAGAUAAAUUUUUUAGACCAAGGGUUU